UGGGGAAUUUUGGACAAUGGGCGAAAGCCUGAUCCAGCAAUGCCGCGUGUGUGAAGAAGGCCUUCGGGUUGUAAAGCUCUUUCAGCAGGGAAGAAGCGAAAGUGACGGUACCUGCAGAAGAAGCGCCGGCUAACUACGUGCCAGCAGCCGCGGUAAUACGUAGGGCGCAAGCGUUGUCCGGAAUUAUUGGGCGUAAAGAGCUCGUAGGCGGUUAGUCGCGUCUGCUGUGAAAACUCGAGGCUCAACCUCGGGCUUGCAGUGGGUACGGGCUGACUAGAGUGCGGUAGGGGUGACUGGAAUUCCUGGUGUAGCGGUGGAAUGCGCAGAUAUCAGGAGGAACACCGAUGGCGAAGGCAGGUCACUGGGCCGCAACUGACGCUGAGGAGCGAAAGCAUGGGGAGCGAACAGGAUUAGAUACCCUGGUAGUCCAUGCCGUAAACGUUGGGCACUAGGUGUGGGGUCCAUUCCACGGAUUCCGUGCCGCAGCAAACGCAUUAAGUGCCCCGCCUGGGGAGUACGGCCGCAAGGCUAAAACUCAAAUGAA
rnacentral:rRNA from 1 species